rnacentral:rRNA from 1 species
GGUGAACGCUGGCGGCGUGCUUAAGACAUGCAAGUCGAACGAACGUCCUCGGACGGUGGUGGCGCACGGGUGGGUACCGCGUAACGGACCUGCCCCCAAGAUCCGAAUAACCAUCCGAAAGGAGGGCUAAUACGGGAGGUCCUGUCCCGUCCUGUGGGGUCAGUAAAGGCUUGACAGCUUGGGGAAGGGGUUGGGUUCCAUUAGUUAGUUGGUGGGGUAAGGGCCUACGAUGGCAACGACGCAUAGCCGGCCUGAGCGGGGGACCGGUCACAGUGGCAGGGAACAACGGUCCAGAGUCCUGCGGGAGGCAGCAGUAGGGAGCCGUACGCAGUGGGCGACAGCCUGACGGAGCAGCGUCGCGUGGGUGCUGCAGGUCUGCGGAGAGUAAUACUCUGUCAUAAGGGACGAACACAUGUGUAAGUGACUGUGCACCUCGAGAAGGUUACCUAACAAAUAGCCACGGCUAACUACGUG